rnacentral:rRNA from 1 species
GAUGAACGCUGGCGGCGUGCCUAAUACAUGCAAGUCGAGCGAGUGGAUUAAGAGCUUGCUCUUAUGAAGUUAGCGGCGGACGGGUGAGUAACACGUGGGUAACCUGCCCAUAAGACUGGGAUAACUCCGGGAAACCGGGGCUAAUACCGGAUAAUAUUUUGAACUGCAUGGUUCAAAAUUGAAAGGCGGCUUCGGCUGUCACUUAUGGAUGGACACGCGUCGCAUUAGCUAGUUGGUGAGGUAACGGCUCACCAAGGCAACGAUGCGUAGCCGACCUGAGAGGGUGAUCGGCCACACUGGGACUGAGACACGGCCCAGACUCCUACGGGAGGCAGCAGUAGGGAAUCUUCCGCAAUGGACGAAAGUCUGACGGAGCAACGCCGCGUGAGUGAUGAAGGCUUUCGGGUCGUAAAACUCUGUUGUUAGGGAAGAACAAGUGCUAGUUGAAUAAGCUGGCACCUUGACGGUACCUAACCAGAAAGCCACGGCUAACUACGUGCCAGCAGCCGCGGUAA